UCCCCACACAGACUGAAAUAACUGCUUUUACAGACUCCAUUACAACAGCUGAUUUCUUGUGAGGAGAUUAAGUGGCUAAGGAGACUGUUAAAAGGUUAAAAGGUUGCUACAGUUUAAGUUUCUUUCCAAUUCACAAGAGAAGAAACACAAAAGGACAUAUUAUACAUUCCUUUUAACCACUGGUAUUCAUGAAGUAACUUCUUAAAGUCUUCCCUAGCUACAAGAUGAACAACAAGAAGCAUGGGAAAAAAGUAUGCUCCUGAAAAAAACACUUCUCUACAUCAUUUACUGGACUUCAGAGUAAAAUUGUACAUCACUGCAGACUUGAGACAUCUUGGUCAUUACAUUUAAACUUAAUGAACAAACUUUUCAAGUAUAACUCCAGGCACAAAUCAGAGGAAACAGCUUGCUAUCAGCACACAAUCUUUCCUACUUUCAAGUAUCAAAUAAUAUGCA